UGUAGAUUUUUGAGCAAAAUGAUGAAAUUCUAUGGAAAUUAAUCAAUAUUUAAUAUGAUAUUUUAUGUUCGUACUGCGCAAUGUCAUUUUAGUAACUAAUAAAUACUAAUAACUAAUGGCUUGUGUAGUUUAUGCAAUGUAAUAAUAUAUAAUUUGGCUGAAUAAUUUCCUCCUUUUCUCAAAUUUUGUUUUGAGAAUUUGUCUAAGUCAAAAGCAUAAAUGAUUUUGAGUCUAGUGUAUCUAAACAUGCAUAAUUCCAAGGUCAAUGAUAUAAUAAUAAUAAAAAAUCUCCAUCCAAAUUGCAUUUCUUGUCUCUUAAUUUUAUAUAUAUAAACCACUCAGAUUUUUAGGUAUCAAUCAUUUUUCUUACCUUUCCACCCACAUUUUGUUUUAUAAGUCAGGCUGCUAAUGCUUAAACCACCUGACUUUUGGUUCUUCUUAAUUGCAAGUUUUUAUUUUUUUUUUAAUUUGCUUGGAUCUUGCUACGCCUUCUAUUGCUGGAGCCUAUUCCUCAUAUCCAUAUAUUUCGAAGAACAAAUCAGGGAAGCUGCAAACCUGGCUAAUUUUGACCCUGAAAUUGUGUAACAAGUAGCAAACUCGUUGGUCAUCAUCUUCUCUCUCUUCAAAAAAAUUCGGUAAAUCUCUUUAUGUUUUGUAUCCUUUCUAUAUGUUCAAAGGCUUGUUGUUGCAUAUAUAACAUCUUCCCAUAUAUGGUGAAGAAAAGAUAGCAUUUAUAUCUUUGUACCUACAUUUGACUUUAUGUUAUGAGGUGAUGUACUUGGUUGCUUCGCUGCCCAUAGCAGAAACAGAGAAAAACUUUUACCACUUGAGGGGAGUAUCUUCCAUGCAAACUAACAUUGCAGGAGUUAUCUUAUUAAAUGGAUUCUAUUUGGUCAAUUAUUUUCUUUAUAUAUAAGCUUAAAACAUGUUCUUAAGUAUACUAGAAAUUGAUUUCCACAAUGUCAUUGGGUAAUUGGUAAACAACUAAUGAAUUAAGUAGUUUAUGGGUUGAGACAACAAGGCUGAAUAAUUUUUUCUUUUUCCAAAUGUUUCUGGAGAAUUCAUUUAAGUCAAAAGCAUAAAAUCAAAUAGAGUCUAGUAGGUUUAUUUAGUCUAGUGUGUCCGGACAUGCACAAGUCCAAUGGUAAAUUAUCUAACAGAUUUCAGAAUACCCUCAUGUUCUUAAUUCUUUAUGUUUUAUUUUAUGGUGGGUUAUUAAUGCUCAAUGCAGCAUCCAAGCUUAGGAACUUUUCAUUUUCUGUGGUUGGUGUUUUGUCUAUUUGUCUACCUCCUAAAGCCCCUUUGGUUCUUAACCUUUUGUUGUGCAGACUCUAUUUGAAUAUUGGGCAACAUUGCUAAUCUUCUUUUCUCUAAUCACUAUGAAGAACUAGCAUGCUGGCCCCCCACCCGAGUAUGGGGGAUAGAGUACAAGAAAAUUUUAAGCCAUAAAGAGGUAGAACGAGUAAGGAUGGUUGAGACAUGACAGGUAAGAGAAGCAGUUUGAUUAAAUAUCCCAAAGAUGGAGUAAUUCACUACAAAGCAAUGUGGAGGUAAGCAAAUUCUAGCCUUUGCACUAUUCUUACCUUAUCAUUUUUGCCAAAAGAUUAUAUAGGAGCCAAUAUGAAAAUUCUUCUUGUAGAUCAUUUAGAAUGGUGAAUUGUACAUUGUGCCACACAUUUAAUAAAAUAAUGGUUUAAUUGGCUGAUUCUAUAUGUUUUUGGGUUUUUGAAUAUAUCAAAGGGUUGUUAUCUUGUACUGAUCUCACCAAGGGAGGGGUAUCUUAUACAGUCCUACUCUUUAGAACUUGCCCUCAAGUAUACUCUUUUCUAAUACUAAAAGACAUGCAUUUCUUACAAAAAUGAGCGGAAGGUGUUUCUGAUUUUUGAUAGUUUUUUAAAGAUGUUUUUUGAAUUGAAGGUAGUAUCGUUUGUAAUUAUAUUUAGAGAUGCAUAUUGUGUGGCAAUUACGCAUUUUAUACAUGUUUUGUAUGUCAGCCUUUUUUGUGAUCUGAAAGCUUAAAUUAAGGACCACUAUAUGAUUAAUCAAUCAAUUCAAAGGAAAGGGCACUAGUGCCAUCAGAUUAACUCUGUAUACAUAUGAUUUUGUAGUUUACUAAUUAAGCUGCACCCUUCACAAGCUAUCAAAUGUAAUUUUGUUCCUUUUUUUUCCCCUUUCUCUAUUUAUCUCUUUAAGGUUUUUUUUUUUUAAUAUUUAUAAUAAAAUUCUGUAGUAUAUUUGUAGAAUGGAUUGCAACACUAAACUAUAGGUCUUAAAUAUUGAUGCUAUUCAUCAUGUGCAUACUAUAGUCCUACAACAAGGCGGUGAUAUAUAUUCCAUUUCACAACUGGUUUGCACUCUCUUCUAUUGCACUUUUAUUUUGCAUCUGAUAUCUCCAUGUCCUUUUAUAUGCUUCUUUUCUUCAGAACUGUAUCUCAUACUUUGUUGACAGGCGUUUGCAUUUGGUUUCUGUAUCAAGUAAUAUAUAGACCAAGUGAUAUCUGGCACUUCUUGACCUUGAGUUACAUUUUUUCAAGAGGGUGAAUCCUGAGUACAAUUCAUAGGGAAAUAGCUUGGAGCUAUUAUCCAUAAACAUGAAUUAAGGAGGUGGAAACGGAUCAUAAGAUUGCUGGUACCCCAAAUAUUCUAACCAGGUCCAGAAGGAUCUCACCCCAUUAGCUACACAGAGGAUUGUGGCAUUGAAACCAAAAGGAUUUUCAAAGAUGGUUCUACAAAAAUCAAGCAUCAUUUUUCAAUAGAUUGAUUUUCUCUUUUUGUGCUGUCUGGGGCUCAUUGUUGUGUACAAGGCAAAAUUGUGCAUGCUCCAUUGAUGGCUUUUGAGACUUCCACAACUAAGAACCUCUUCAUGUGGAUGGAGGUCACUGUGUCAUCUUUGAAGCAAUAAAACCACUCAGUGAAGUUAUUUAUCAAGGAAGAUUUGGUGGCCGGAGCUUUGUCCUACCAUAUGUUCUUUACAAGCAAGUUUUCAGAAGAAUAUUUGCCUCAGUGUCUGGAGCUAUUGUUUUGGGUCUAAUAGAGAGGCAAAUAGGGAUGACAGUUCCACUAAGCAUGCAACCUGACUCGUAACUCCUAAUCUGCGAGACUUGAGCCUAUAUGUUUGUUUGUGGUAUGUCAGCCAUUAUACGACCGUGUAGUUCCCUAUUGAAUGGUUGUAAAAUGGUGACUGUACAGCAAUAAGCAAAAAAAGUCUUGAAUUAGCUAUUACAAAAAAGAUGUUUAAGAUCACAUAAUGCUGUGGACUGGUCAUAUUUGCUCCUUUGGAGAAGUAUUAGUCAUCUUCAACAGUCUUGGUAGAGAAAUGAGGACAAUUGAGUAGAUAGUCAUGUCAACCGGAAUGCUGAAAUCACAAUUCUCAACUUGUUGAAUACUGUUGCCAACUAGACUAUCAAGUAUUCGUAUUUCGCGUCUUCAAAUUUUAUGAUUUGGGAGGCCAACUUUGUGUGAGCUUUUGGUGGAUCAACUUAUUGGGUUCCUCUUGCAAUAACUAGGGUGCUCUUUGUACUUGAUAUAUAAUUUAUGUUUGGAGGUUCUUUUCUAUAUUUAUUUAUUUUUUCUUAAGGA